CAUCAACACGAAUCUCGUGGCCUGAUUCAAUUUCAAGAACAGACGCAAUCACUUAGAACAGAGGAAAAACCCGGCGCAAAGAAGGAAAGCAAGAAGCGGAAAGUAUUUUUCCGGAUGAGCAAGGAGAAUGCUGGUUGAACGCUUCCGGCGUCGCCCAUUAACGCCCGAUUAGAAACAUAUCUUUCGUAAAAUUACCGUUUCCAGCCUUGACUCGAGACCACCGCCCCGGACGCUCGUUCUUUGCCCAAUUGUGGGGCGGUUCUGAUCCAUUCUUUCUCGCUUUUCGUUUCUUUUCAACGCCCACUUGAACACACGAGAAUUGAUAAGAAUCUUAGGACGAUGGAAAUUUGAAAUAAAUUUAUUUGCACAAAAAGCGAAAACACCAAAAAUUUGUAUAUUUUAGUAGAAUAAGGUUUUUAUUCGUACAACUUCCUGGAACUUGGAUUAGCAUAUUGAUGAGAUGGUAAAUUGAUUACCAUUAGAUGGUAAUGACAAAAUCCACACUCAGUUGCCAACCCAAUAAACCUUAAGACGAAAGCUAAGUCUCGGUCAUUGUGAAAUCGUAUCGACGUAACGUCUGUGAAAAAUACGUACUGUAUAAACUACUGUAUAAACUAAAAAAUAACAUACUGUUGCCGAUUAAACGACGGAAGGCUCACGACACUCGUAUCUGAAGGUGUUUCAUAAAUUGUAGAACUUUGUUUUCACAACAGCACAGGUAGAAAGAUGUAUCCGUAAAUCGGAUACUUUGCGAACACACGUUCUAUUCAAUUUCACGAUAUCAAAUUUCUGCGUGCUAAAGAUUAAGUUUAAACGCAAAACGUUUAUUCUCGAAGAUAUAAUUGAUAAUAUAAUCUUCUCCUUAAUCCGUCUUAAUAUUUUGUAAACGUCGAUUAUGUUGCCAUAAUUUAUCAGUAUAUGAAAUUGCUCAUCUAAGAACGAGCGGAUGUUAUCGAAUUAACCUUUAGAAACUCGAUGAAUCUUCGAUGGCGGGGAACGUGGCGAGAUAACGAAAGACACGAUCGAUUUACUGUACGUAUCGUCGAUACACGUAGGUACAUGUGAUAAGCAGAACAGGAAUCUAGGGAUUUUCAGGAUUAGCCGUAACGCUGACAGAAGCGAAACUUACGCGCACUAACUCGACCCGGUUCAGAUCGAACGGUGUCGAUCGGAAUUGCGGCGCGUUAGGUUUGACAUGAGGUAAGCCGUGGAUUCGCCUUGUGAUUAUGAAUUUACCGAUAUCGGUUUAUCCAGCCUCGCAGGAAUUUCAAACUAAUUUGUCGUUCAUAUAGGGAAUUCAAAGCUGUCUCUUAGGUCUUUCUCGUUUCAUGAUAACUGGCAAAAUGUAUUUUGACAAAUACUUAAAUGGAAAAAAUUAAUUAACAUUGACUAGCCUGUGAGAUGAAUUUAUUCUUUACAAAUAGUCGUAAAAAGCUGAAAGAAAUUGAAAUCGUAUCAUCACGAUAGAUACAAUCGAAAAACAUACGUAAUCGACGUAAUUAGACUCGAGCACUGUGAUCAAUAAUAUGCUACAAUCAAGAACACGUGUGAAAUCGAGGCGAUAUUAAUCUAUUGCGACUAAUGCUAAUCAAACAAACGUCAUCGUCUUCCUUCAAACUCUGCACAACGUACAAGUUUUUCAAAUUACAAGCUACCCACUUGAUAUUUUCGUCGCAAUUCCAUCAGCCUUUGCUAUGCAGAGAAAACGACUAGCUUCGUUAAUAAUACGUUACGACCGAAAAAACGUGAGAGAUCAAGGCGAGCCUAAUCUAUUACAUCACGACCAACCGGAUGAACGUUCGUUUUCUUUCAAAUCCCACGCGGUACAAGCUUUCCAAGCUACAAAAUCAUUUACUAAAGUAAUCUAUCCUAAUAAUCUCGUCAGAAACCCAUUCUUUACUACGUAGAAAUAGCAGAGCAUCGCUCAUCGAGGGACCAAUUGGAUACUCGACGACGCAAUUAGAUGUGACCACAUCCACCGAUAUUACAGUUGAAAAUUAUGAAUCUUAGUCGUAGAAAUAAAUGUAUAGGAACACUCACAUUACACGCGGAAAUGAUAUUAAAAUAGUUUCAUAUUUAUUUAAUAUGUGAUUUACAAGAUAUUCGUGGAUAUACAUUGCACUCGUCUCAGCACUCUUUUUGUUUCACCAUCUUUCUAUCACUAUGCGUACAGAACAGUUGCGUUGAGGUUAACUGAUAGAGGAACGAUUGGAUGAAUUUGUAAUAGAAAAUACAUUGAAAUAAGUAUAAGUACAGGUUAAGUGAUAGAGAAACGAGUGAACGAACUUGUAAUAGAAAAAUAUAUUGAAAUAAGUAUAAGUAUAGUGUAUGAGGUUAAGAUCAAAUAAACUGUUGCGAUUAUUUAUUAAUUUGAUGUAUGAUAUUGUUGAGGUUAAGUGAUAGAGGGACCAGUGGAUGAAGUGGAAUAGAAAAGUAUAUUGAAAUAAGUAUAAGCAUAAGUAUAAGUACAGAGGUUGACUGACAAAGCAACGAGUGGAUGAAUUUGUAAUGGAAAAAUAUAUUGAAACAAGUAUAAGUACACGUAUAGUGUAUGAAAUGAAAAUCAAAUAAAUUAUUAUCACUAUUUAUUAAUUUGAUAUAUGAUAUUGUCGAGGUUAAGUGAUAGAGGGACCAGUGGAUGAAGUGGAAUAGAAAAGUAUAUUGAAAUAAGUAUAGGCAUAAGUAUAAGUACAGAGGUUGACUGACAAAGCAACGAGUGGAUGAAUUUGUAAUGGAAAAAUAUAUUGAAACAAGUAUAAGUACACGUAUAGUGUAUGAAAUGAAAAUCAAAUAAAUUAUUAUCACUAUUUAUUAAUUUGAUAUAUGAUAUUGUCGAGGUUAAGUGAUAGAGGGACCAGUGGAUGAAGUGGAAUAGAAAAGUAUAUUGAAAUAAGUAUAGGCAUAAGUAUAAGUACAGAGGUUGACUGACAAAGCAACGAGUGGAUGAAUUUGUAAUGGAAAAAUAUAUUGAAACAAGUAUAAGUACACGUAUAGUGUAUGAAAUGAAAAUCAAAUAAAUUAUUAUCACUAUUUAUUAAUUUGAUAUAUGAUAUUGUCGAGGUUAAGUGACAGAGGGAUCAGUGGAUGAAGUGGAACAGGAAAGUAUAUUGAAAUAAGUAUAGGCAUAAGUAUAAGUACAGGUAUAGUGUAUGAGGUCAAAAUCAAAUAAAUUGUUACCAUUAUUUAUUAAUUUAAUAUAUCAUAUUGUAGAGGUUGACUGACAAAGCAACGAGUGGAUGAAUUUGUAAUGGAAAAAUAUAUUGAAACAAGUAUAAGUACAUGUAUAGUGUAUGAAAUGAAAAUGAAAUAAAUUAUUAUCACUAUUUAUUAAUUUGAUAUAUGAUAUUGUCGAGGUUAAGUGACAGAGGGAUCAGUGGAUGAAGUGGAACAGGAAAGUAUAUUGAAAUAAGUAUAGGCAUAAGUAUAAGUACAGGUAUAGUGUAUGAGGUCAAAAUCAAAUAAAUUGUUACCAUUAUUUAUUAAUUUAAUAUGUCAUAUUGUAGAGGUUGUCUGACAAAGCAACGAGUGGAUGAAUUUGUAAUGGAAAAAUAUAUUGAAACAAGUAUAAGUACACGUAUAGUGUAUGAAAUGAAAAUCAAAUAAAUUAUUAUCACUAUUUAUUAAUUUGAUAUAUGAUAUUGUCGAGGUUAAGUGACAGAGGGAUCAGUGGAUGAAGUGGAACAGGAAAGUAUAUUGAAAUAAGUAUAGGCAUAAGUAUAAGUACAGGUAUAGUGUAUGAGGUCAAAAUCAAAUAAAUUGUUACCAUUAUUUAUUAAUUUAAUAUGUCAUAUUGUAGAGGUUGUCUGACAAAGCAACGAGUGGAUGAAUUUGUAAUGGAAAAAUAUAUUGAAACAAGUAUAAGUACACGUAUAGUGUAUGAAAUGAAAAUCAAAUAAAUUAUUAUCACUAUUUAUUAAUUUGAUAUAUGAUAUUGUCGAGGUUAAGUGACAGAGGGAUCAGUGGAUGAAGUGGAACAGGAAAGUAUAUUGAAAUAAGUAUAGACAUAAGUAUAAGUACAGGUAUAGUGUAUGAGGUCAAAAUCAAAUAAAUUGUUAUCACUGUUA